UACGUAGGGUGCAAGCGUUGUCCGGAAUUAUUGGGCGUAAAGAGCUCGUAGGCGGUCAGUCGCGUCUGCUGUGAAAACUCGGGGCUUAACUCCGGGCCUGCAGUGGGUACGGGCUGACUAGAGUGCGGUAGGGGAGACUGGAAUUCCUGGUGUAGCGGUGAAAAUGCGCAGAUAUCAGGAGGAACACCGGUGGCGAAGGCGGGUCUCUGGGCCGUAACUGACGCUGAGGAGCGAAAGCGUGGGGAGCGAACAGG
rnacentral:rRNA from 1 species